UACGGAGGUGGCAAGCGUUGUUCGGAUUCAUUGGGCGUAAAGGGUGUGUAGGUGGCGCCGUAAGUCGGGUGUGAAAUUUCGGAGCUUAACUCCGAAACUGCAUUCGAUACUGCGGUGCUUGAGGACUGGAGAGGAGACUGGAAUUCAUGGUGUAGCAGUGAAAUGCGUAGAGAUCAUGAGGAAGACCAGUGGCGAAGGCGGGUCUCUGGACAGUUCCUGACACUGAGACACGAAGGCCAGGGGAGCAAACGGG
rnacentral:rRNA from 1 species